rnacentral:rRNA from 1 species
AGAGCGAACGCUGGCGGCAGGCCUAAUACAUGCAAGUCGAACGGACCCUUCGGGGUUAGUGGCGGACGGGUGAGUAACACGUGGGAACGUGCCCUUUGGUUCGGAACAACUCAGGGAAACUUGAGCUAAUACCGAAUGUGCCCCCUCCUUUGAUUAGGGGGGUGGGAAAGAUUUAUCGCCAUUGGAGCGGCCCGCGUCUGAUUAGCUAGUUGGUGGGGUAAAGCCCACCAAGGCUACGAUCAGUAGCUGGUCUGAGAGGAUGAUCAGCCACACUGGGACUGAGACACGGCCCAGACUCCUACGGGAGGCAGCAGUAGGGAAUCUUGCGCAAUGGGCGAAAGCCUGACGCAGCCAUGCCGCGUGAAUGAUGAAGGUCUUAGGAUUGUAAAAUUCUUUCAGCGGGGACGAUAAUGACGGUACCCGCAGAAGAAGCCCCGGCUAACUUCGUGCCAGCAGCCGC